rnacentral:rRNA from 1 species
UACGGAGGAUGCAAGCGUUAUCCGGAUUUAUUGGGUUUAAAGGGUGCGUAGGCGGAAAAUUAAGUCAGUAGUGAAAUCCCGCAGCUCAACUGUGGAACUGUUAUUGAUACUGGUUUUCUUGAAUGUAGUUGAGGUAGGCGGAAUGUGUAAUGUAGCGGUGAAAUGCUUAGAUAUUACACAGAACACCGAUUGCGAAGGCAGCUUACUAAGCUACGAUUGACGCGGAGGUACGAAAGCGUGGGGAGCGAACAGG